rnacentral:rRNA from 1 species
GUCCACGCCGUAAACGUUGGGCACUAGGUGUGGGACUCUAUCGACGGGUUCCGUGCCGUAGCUAACGCAUUAAGUGCCCCGCCUGGGGAGUACGGCCGCAAGGCUAAACUCAAAGGAAUUGACGGGGCCCGCACAAGCGGCGGAGCAUGUGGCUUAAUUCGAUGCGACGCGAAGAACCUUACCUGGGUUUGACAUGUAGGGAAAGCCGUAGAGAUACGGUGUCCUUCGGGGCCUUACACAGGUGGUGCAUGGCUGUCGU